CCUACGGGCGGCUGCAGUGGGGAAUAUUGGACAAUGGGCGAAAGCCUGAUCCAGCCAUGCCGCGUGUGUGAAGAAGGCCUUCGGGUUGUAAAGCACUUUCAGUGGGGAAGAAAGCCUUGGGGCUAAUACCCUCGAGGAAGGACAUCACCCACAGAAGAAGCACCGGCUAACUCCGUGCCAGCAGCCGCGGUAAUACGGAGGGUGCGAGCGUUAAUCGGAAUUACUGGGCGUAAAGCGCGCGUAGGCGGUCUGAUAAGCUGGUUGUGAAAGCCCCGGGCUCAACCUGGGAACGGCAUCCGGAACUGUCAGGCUAGAGUGCAGGAGAGGAAGGUAGAAUUCCCGGUGUAGCGGUGAAAUGCGUAGAGAUCGGGAGGAAUACCAGUGGCGAAGGCGGCCUUCUGGACUGACACUGACGCUGAGGUGCGAAAGCGUGGGUAGCAAACAGGAUUAGAUACCCCUGUAGUC
rnacentral:rRNA from 1 species